rnacentral:lncRNA from 1 species
AGUAUUCUUGAUCCUUGAAUUCUGUGGAGCUCAAAUAGACAACAAAGCUUUAUGGAACUGAUUAGGUGUUAGCAUAAACAUAUAGCCUUUAUCAUGUUGAGCCUCCUUAAUAAAUGUUACUCUCUCUAUUUUUAUAUUUUCAUUUUUUAGAGCAGGAAUAUAUUUAUUUUAUUUGUUACGCCACCACUAUGAAUGUACUUAUGGGUUUUAUGCCAUGAGCAUACUCACAUGGGGUUUACAGGUUUUAACAUUUUUAUUUUAUUUUAGGAUAGUAUGAACAUGAUUAACUAAGUAAACUAUUUUAAAUAAUUGAAAGGAAAAGGAUAACUACCUAGCUUACCUCUUGGCAAGGCGUUCGGUGUUUUUAAGUCCUCUGAACGGGACUCUCCGUUUUCUCAAUCAUCCUGGGAUUCGCUGGAUGGCGUAGUCGGUGGUUCCGGUGGCGCCUCCUCUUCGUGUAUAACUAUCUUCUCUCUCCACACCUGACUCGGUGCUACGGUCUUCUUAGGACAAUUCUGUUCAAGCUGUAUGUCUUCAGACCUUACCACUUCUCCUUCGUAGUCAGCCCAUCCGUCCUUGAUGAUUUGCCUCCUCCGGUUGCGAUUGCGUCGUCUUCUUCUUGUCCUGACCUGCUUAGAGUCUUCAACUAUAUAAUUAGGGUCAGUAAAAUAGCAGUGUACCUUCUCUAUGGGG